AUGGCAACCCCCAAGGACCAGCUGAUUGUGAAUCCUCUUAAAAGAACAGAUGCCCCAGAGCAAGAUUAGAGUUGUUGGGGUUGGUGCUGUUGGCAUAGCUUGUGCCAUCAGUGUCUUAAAGAAGGACUUGACAGAUGACUUGCCUUGCUGAUGUCAUGGAAGACAAGUUAAAGGGAGUGAUGAUGGAUCUCCAACAUGGCAGCCUUAUCCUUAGAAUGCUAAAAGUUGUCUCCAGCAAAGACUGUAGUGUGACUGCAAACUCCAAGCUGGUCAUUAUCACAGCGGGGACCUGUCAACAAGAGGGAGAGAGCCUGUCAGCAAGAGGGAGAGAACCAACUCAAUUUGGUCCUUUGACAUGUAAACAUCUUCAAGUUCAUCUUUUCUGACAUUUCGUAGUACAGUCCAUGCUGCAAAUUGCUUACUGUCUCAAAUCCAGUGGAUAUCUGACCUACAUGGCUUGGAAAGUCAGUGGCUUUCCCAAAAGCCAACUUAUUGGAAGUGGUUGCUAUCUGGAUUCAGCUCAGUUCCAUUAUCUGAUGGGAGGAAGGCUGGGGGUUCACCCACUGAGGUGUCACGGGUGGGUCCUGGGGGAACAUGGUGACUCCAAUGUGCCUGUGUGGCAUGGUGUGAACGUUGCUGGCAUCUCCCUGAGUCUCUGAACCGGGAACUGGGCACUGAGGUAGACAAGGAGCAGUGGAAAUUCAUAAGCAGGUGGUUGACAGUGCGUAUGAGGUGAUCGAGCUGAGAGGUUACACAUCCUGGGCUAUUGGCCUCUCCAUGGCAGACUUGGCUGAGAGCAUAAUGAAGAACCUUAGGAGCACGCAUUUCCACCAUGACUAAGGGUCUCUAUGGGAUCAGUGAUGAUCUCUUCCUCAGUGUUCCUUGUAUCCUGGGACAAAAUGGAACCUCAGAUGUUGGAAAGGUGGCUCUGAGUCCUCAAGAGAAGGCCCGCCCUCUGGGGAAUCCAGAAGGAGCUGCAGUUCUAA
rnacentral:lncRNA from 1 species